AAGGUUAUAAAUUUUUCAUAAAGAACAUAGUUCUCCAUUUAUUUCAGUCUCUUUAAUUACAUUUGAUAAAAUUUUAUAAUUUUCUUUUUAAAGAUCAUGCACCUCAUUUGUUAGAUUUAUUCCUAGGUACCUUAUUUUUAUGCUAUUACAAGUUAUAUAAAAGUGAUCUUUUACAAAUUAUAUAUUUUCGCUAUUUGUUGCAGUGUUUAGAAUACUACCAAUUUUUGCAUAUUGAUCUCAAAGCCAUAGCAGAAUAUCAUACUACCUUAUCAUAAUAGCAGACAUUCAUAUAACUUACUAUGUGUCAGGCACUGUUCUAGGCAUUUUACAUGGAUGACAUGCAUUCAAUCUCACAAUGACCCAGUGAGGGAGAUCUUAUUAUUAUAAUUAUUUAUAGUGAGGAAACUGAAGUCCAAAGAAGUGCAGAGAACUUAAGUAGAUUCCAUCAUAAGUGGUGAAGCCAGGAUUCAAACUCAUUCUCCAGCAUCCAGGGCUAUACUCGUGGUACUGCAUUUACUUCUUACUCUUGGUAAGCCCUGUUAUUAAUUCCGAUAAUAUGCCUGUCUAUUCUCAGGUUUUCCAUGCAAACAACGAUAAUAAAUACCUUAAAAUCAGCUAGCAAACACACAAAUGGUUAAUGCCAUAGUAAAGUGUGUAGGAUGUGUGUGUGUGUGUGUGCAGAGUGUGUAUGUAUGGGGUGUGUAUGUGUGAGGUAUGUGGAGUGUGUGUGUGUGUAGAGAGUGUGUGGAGGGUGUAUGUAUGGGGUGUGGGAGGGUGUAUGCAUGUAUUGUGUGUAUGUGUGUGUGAUUUGUAUGUGUGAAUGUGUUUUUGUGUGUAGUGUGUGUGUGGAUGUUGUUUGGGAGUGUGUGUGUGGAUGUGAAUGUUUAGGUUCUGUGUGUGUGUGUUUGCGGAGUGUGUGGAGUGUGUAACAUGGUGUGUGUAUAUGUUUGGGGUGUGUGUGUAGAUAUGUGUGUGUGAGUGUGUGUGUUAUGGAGUGUGUGUAUAUGUAUGUUUGGGUGUGUGUGGGGUGUGUGUAUAGUGUGUGGGAGGUGUGAGUGCAUAUUGAGUGUGUGUAUAUGUGUAUGUUUCGGGAGGUUUGUGUGUGGAGUGUGUGUGUAGAGUGUGUGUGUAUGGGGUGUGUGUGUGUGGAGUGUGUGUGUAUGAAGCGUGUGUGGGGAGUGUGUGUGUAGAAUGUGUGUGUGGAGUAUGUAUGUUUGGGGUGUGUGUAGUGUGUGUGCAUGUAUGUGUAUGGGUGUGUGUGUAUAUUUAUAUUUGGGAGUCUGUGUCUGUGGAGUGCAUGUGUGUAGAGUAUGUGUAUAGGUGUGUGUGGAGUGUGUGUAUGUUUGGGGGUGUGUGUAGGUGUGUGGAGAGUGUGUUUUGGGGUAUGUGUAUAAAGUGUGUGUAUAGUGUGUGUAUAGAGCGUGGUUGUUCCGUGGUAUAGAAUGUGUGUGAGUAUGUAUGUUUGGCUCGUGUGUGUAGUGUGCGUGCGGGUGUGUCUAUGUUUGUGUGUGUGUAGAGUGUGGUUGUUUGCGAUGUGUGUGGUGUGUGUGUAGAGUAUGUAUGUUUUGGGUUUGUGUAUGUGGAGUGUAUGUGUGGAUUGUGUGCCUGUGUGUAUGGGGUGUGUGUGGCGUGUGUGUAGAGUGUAUGUUGGGAUGUGUGUGUGGAGCGUGUGUGUGCACGUGUGUGUAUGUUUGUGUGUGUGUGUAGUAUGUGUGUAGUUUGUGUGUGUGUAUUUUUGGAUGUGUGUGUAUGGGUGUGUGUGUAAUGUGUGUGUAGUUUGCGCAUGUGUGUGUUUAUUUGGGUGUGUGUGUGUGGAGUGUGUGUGCAUGUUUGGGUGUGUGUCUAUUGUGUGCAGGAGUCCAAGUGGGCACGUGUUACAAUGUGCUCUUUUAGCCGUCUGCGAAUGGCUUGAGUGUUAGCGAGCAAGGGCAGAGGGCCAGUGUGACAGCUUUAUGUAUCCCAAGCUCUUGUCCAGCAUCCUGGAAGAACUGGGUCACACAUGCACUUGAAGGAUAAAUGUGGGGGUCUUACUGAAUGGCGGAGGUGGCUCUCAGCAGGAUGGAUGGAGAACCUGAAGGGAGGACGGAGUAGGAAGAUGGGCUUCUCCUGGAGUUUGGCCUUCCGGCAGCUGAACCGCCCCGGGCUAAACUCUUAGUGUUGAGACAUUCCUCCUCUUCUCUCUUUCUGCCGCAGCAUUUUGACAUUCCUCUGCUUGUCUCCUUGUCUGCCCAUCUGCUUCUGGAACCUGGGGGUUUGGGGUUUAUAUGGGUACAGGAUAGGGGGGCAUGGCGGGCCAAAAGGCAAAUUUUGCAUUCAAAAACAGAAAUGCCUGUUUCCAUUUAGGGCCGAGGGUCUCUGGACUUCAGGGUGGGGCCUUUGCCAGGGAACCACCCUCUUCUACCCAGUAUUUCCCUGUCUCCUAUCCAUAUCAAUGAGGCUUUUCCUGUUUUCUAAAAUGCUUCAGUUAUUCACUAGUCUAGAAGUUAAAAUCAUUAGAGUUGUUGCUUGUUAACCUACUCUAUGGAUCCUCUCUCUUGUCUUGAGAUCAGAAACCAUGGCUUUUCACUAUGAAUCCCCAGACCUGGCAAAGUCCUUGCCCUACAGAGGUGACUGUUUUCCAAAAAUAGAAACAGCAGUAUUUCCAGUUUCACAUGUUUUUCCACAAACUUUCCAUUUCCCAUCAUGAGGCAGAAUCUAUUCGUCUUCUCCAGAGACUCAGGAUUGGGGAAGGGCUGACUCCGUGACUGUCUUGAUAAUUGGAAUGCUACAGAUUGCUUGACUUCCAAGGCUAUGUUAUAAAAAGCAAUUAGGCUUCUGCCUGCAGCUCUCUCCCUAGGGAUGUUCACCCUUGAAACCAGCCACUGGGUUAUGAGGAAGCCUCAACUAGCUCAUGUGGAGGGUGAAAGAUGCCCCCAGCCAACAGCCAGCUUCACCCACCAGGAUAGAUGAGUGAAUUAAUGAGCCUUCAGUUGAUCCCAUCCUCCAGUUCUCAAGUCUUCCAGCUGAAUCCUCAGACAUUGCAGAGCAGAGACGGGGUAUCCUUGGUGUGCCAUGGCCAAGUCUUAACCCACACAGUUGAGUCU
rnacentral:lncRNA from 1 species